GCUCUAGGCUGUCAGGUUAAUGGACAACUGCAAAACAGGCUGUACUAUAUCUACACAGAUAAACUAGACAUGAAUUAGCUCUUCCGGUGCCAUGGUUAAAGACAUCAUCAGUGUGUGUUAAGCACUUCAAUAAAAUGUAAGCUAAUGUAAACAAUCUGUUCAUUGUGUUACUCCUACACCACAGCAAAUAGCUUGCACAGUUACGAUACACUUGAUGCUUAUUUUAGUUGAGCAUAAAAUGCCUUAAAGCAGCAGAAUGAGAGCAGCGACUAAGGAAGGGGAACUGCAACUACCAAAUAGAGCAAACAUGAAAAUGACCUGAACAAUCUGAAAGGAAUAAAGAGUGAGAAUUGUGCAUAGAGAGAAAAAAAAAUCUCAAAAGUAGUCGUCCUUCUGUGGAUGCUAAAUGUCCACAAAGCAUGAAAGACACCUGAAACCUUCAAAUUCACCACUGCCUUAUCAUGGAGGUGGUCAGAUUUCAACAACAAAUGCGUGGAGAAAACUAGUCCAAGCAGGUCAGAGAAGCAACAUAGGAAAAACUAUUUCAGACUCGAACUUGACGGAACUAAACCAUGUGACAUCAAACAGAGCGUUGAUUGAUUUAAUAGACUUAGAUGCCAAGGAAAUCUCAGUUCCAACAAAUGAUCUAUCUCAAUCAGAGAGCAAGAGAAGUACCAAACCUCAACAAGAGAACUAACCAAUUCGAACAACACUCGCCACUGAACCUCAAACUUAAAUUUUAAGUCCAAACAAUUGAAACAAACAGACCUGAACCAUUAAAAGAAAAUCACUUAACGCGGAACUAACACGAGUUCAAGCUGGUCUUUAGCUAAAUCAGGAGCAUAUAUCAACAAACCUAAUACUGAAAAGAAGAACCCAGAGAAUAUAGUCCUAUUCUGGAAGAAUGAUAGGAUGAAAGGAACUAGACAUAUCAAAUAGUGCUUAUGGAACUCGUCUCGAGCUUAUACGAGCAAACUGAACCCAAACACUUACAACAAAGCUCUAAAGAACCCAUUACUGAACUAGGGACCAUUUGAACAGUAAUAAGUUUCUUUAUCAAAUAGCUAAUCAAACUGAUUCUAACAGCAAAUGACGUGUUUCACUGACUCAAACGACCAAGAAUCAAAUCUGACUUUGAUCAAACGCAUUUGUCAAACGAUCAGAUUUGUACCAGUAUUGCAGGGCAGACAACUUCAGAGUUCAAUUCAUAUGUAAGCUAAACUAAACAGAACCAGAAUAAACAUGAACACAUUGUUCAUUUGAAGUUGACGACACUUGAUUCAGAAUAUUCUCCAAGCUUGAAUAACUGUCAAGACAUGUGGGGAAUGAAAGACGACUAUUCAAUUCGACUUCUACCAACUGAAAAUACACAAAUACAUCAGACUACUGAAAAUGAAUUCAUUCAACACGAGAUUCGAUCCCAGCACAAACAGAGCACUCGAGACAGAAACACACAGUUCAAAGCACUAAAACAAAACAGAAUCGCAAGAACAGAGAGAUGAAGAUUGAACCUGAAAUUUCGAAUUUCUUUUAAUAACAGAAUCGAAGACGAUUACACAGUGUCGACUCCAAAACUAUCUC
rnacentral:lncRNA from 1 species